rnacentral:rRNA from 1 species
AUGGGCAGCACCUUCCCGCUCGACCUCGAAUUCCCAGAGGACUAUGGCCUCGAGGAAGAGGAUGAAGUGAGCAUCGAUGGGGAGCCUUUGUUCGAGCACAAGCUCGCCAACCAAGCCGGCGCAAACAAGAAGCGCAAAAGCAAGCAGACGAAGGCAUACACGCAGCCGGAGGACAAACUCCUUUGUGAGUGUUGGAGGGACAUUGGACAAGACCCCAAGGUCGGCGCCGAGAAAAAGGCAUCUAUCUUUUGGCUUCGUGUUUAUCGUGAGUACCAUGAAUGCAAGAAGUUCGAGCCGUACCAAAUGGAGAGCAAGCGCGGGUGGGUGUCGCUCUUGAAGUGA